UUGUAAUAUUUCUCCGCUUUACCCUUUUGCCCUCGCACUCGCUCUCUCCCCGACAGGCCCCUGGCUACCACUCGCCUCCUCCCCACCCCAGAUCCGUCGACCUCACCUUGCCCACCACCGCUCACCGCCAGCUCCGACGACCCCCACCUUGGCGCCCAUCCACGAGCUGGAGCAGCCGGAUGAGGACGAACCCACCGAGACUGCCUCUUCCUCCAGCGACCACGCCACCGGCCCCAGCGCCACCAGGACGUCGCGGCACCACCACCGAGCUUCCAGCUCUCCCCGUCCCAAUCCCCUCCUCCGGCCGGCCGCUCCUUCCGCACCACCAGAAGCAGCACAGGCGGACAGCAGCAGCUGCGCCCGCCUCCCGCCCACGUCAGCAGAAGCCGUGCUCGAUCCGGUCAAAGAUGAUAUUUUUACACGGGCGGCGGUGCUCGAUCCGUGCUGGAGCAGUGGGAGGAGGACGGCGGCGCAGCGGGCUUCUGUUCUUCCCUGCUGUCGAGAAGCAGUCCCGGCCUGUUGACCCGCGCGCCCUCGUCCUGGCCGUGGCCGCUACCUGGGCUGCUCGCAAGGCAGCGCAACAUGUCGGGGUCGCCGACGACCCUGAGGAGGAAGAGGAGUGCUUGGUCCGGCGCUCCGUCUCCUGCACCCUGCCGCCACGCGCUCCUUGAAGAUGCCCAGCCAGCCAUGAAGUAAUUCAAGUUCAAGGUGAUUCGAUUCGAUUCGGCAGCCCUCUCCGCUGCGAUUUGUUGUAGCUACACUUGAUUUGAAUUCUUUCUCUAAUUCUUGCCGGUCCAAGCAAUCAAGAUCAUCAGAGUCAAUAACGGAGAUGGUCCAACAACCAUGUUUCUGAGUGAGCAGGCACAAAGGAUGCCCAGCUAUGUUUAUCUGUUGACCAUUGUAUUAAAACCUGUAGGAUAUCUAGCCUCAAAUCUUAUGACCAACUGACAAAAGCCUAAAACUGAAUCUUGAUACUCCUGCUACGAAUACAAUUGUUCCUGUAUCUCCUUCCAUUUCUUCUCCUACAUGUCCUUCCAUUUCAUUUUCUGCAUCUUCAUCCAUUUCAUCCACAUCUUCUGCAGGUGGAGUGAAGUAGAAGUAGAAGUAGAAGAUAUUAAAAUUUAGCAAAGUGCUUUCAACAGUACUUAACUGAAUUUUUAUGCACCUAUGUGCAUUAAAAUUCAGCAAAGUGCUUUUGAAAUCACUUAACUGAAUUUUUAUGCAAAAUGCUUUCAAAAGCACUUAACUGACAACAACAAUAACAACAAGUGGUUUUUGUUUGCUUGUUGUAUGUCUAUGUUGAUGAGAUGUUGAGAUUUUAUGUCUAUGUUUUUUUGGCUUAGGAUCUCCUCAAAGGAAAGGAAGAUGGCUGUACUCACAUAUUCUCCAUGUCCCAUCCAUCAGAAUGCAGUGAGGACUUGAUGGAAAAUGGAGACGUUUGUAUCAGGGAGUUUGUUGACAAGAGCUCCAUACUGACUACUAUCAGGUUCAAGGAGACUCGUCAUCAUAGUCACUGUUCUAUGUAAUCUAUCAUAACAGUGGCAGUUUCCUCCCUCAAGUUGCUCGGAUCCAGUUAGGCAAACAAAGUAUGCAGUGAACUCUAGUGCAUAAUCUUUUUUGAGGGUACGCCAAAGGCCAUUAUGUCUUACUGCAAUGUAUCUCAGCCCAUUACAACUGAACCAAAUAUAAAUAUAUUACCAUUAGAUGCCCAAGAUUGAAAACACAAAAUGACCUAUCAGAUGCUGAACAUUUUCUUACUUAUUAAGAAAACACUAAGCUAAUGCCUGAAGGUAUGGUUCUCCCAGUUGUGCAUAUCAUAUUUUGUUGAUUGCAGAAGAGUAUUUAAGAUCAAGAAUUACACUAUUUAUCUUCUCUUUUAGAGAAAAAACAGAUGAAGUAUGCUUAUGUUUCUAACUUUAACAUUCUGGAGUACAGCCUCUUUGAGGAGCGCUAAGCUUAGCAAGGUUGAAUUGCUGUUCUUUUUUUGUCAAAGCAUGUCAGUAGACGCCAUUAAGAGAUUAAGCAACAUCUAACGGCUUCACUGAUGUUGUCAAUUUUCUGCUGAUUUGUCAAUCUUGCUUUUGUUUUCACAGGUGGACAGAUGGACCUGUUCAAGUCAGUUUUCUUGGCCCUUGCCUAGCCUAGCCUAGCCUAGCCUAGCUGCUUGAAAGGAAGGGGGCGAUGGAGGUGGUGGCAGAGGCCGGCGCGCAGCAGCCCUGGGACCAGUUCAAGGAGGAGGUGGAGAUCAUGGAGGAGCAGCCGAAGGAGCAGAAAGGAGCAGCGAGCAGCAGCGGCGGCUGACCUCGAGCUCUCGAUUGGAGUGGAGGGAGGCGGCCGACGAGGGAUCUGCGGCCGACGGGGAAGGAUCUGGAGCUGCGGCGGAGCAGGCAACCAGUGGGGAAAGGCGGCCGCCGGUGAGGGAGCUUCUGAUCGCGGCGGGGAAGGGCGACCAAAGAGGGGAUCGGGCUCUGAUUGGAGCGGCGCAGGCAGCCGGCGGGGAAGGACGAGCAACGGAGGAAGACGACGGCCCGAGCGAUUUCAAAUCGGGGGGUCAGUUUCGUAAUUUCACUUGUUUUCACCUGGUCGGACCCCCCACGACAAUUAUUUCGGAACGGAGGGAGUAUUAUAUUAUAUUUACUAAUUGGAGACACUAAUCGAGACUCCAUGUUAAUCCUCAUAAUACUAAGUUAAUUAACCGCAC